rnacentral:lncRNA from 1 species
GUCUGUAUUUCCGCCGGCGCGAAACGAGCGUAGCUUCCUUGUCGUGUGGCCUCAGUCCUUCGCCGUCCCUCGCCGUCCUUCGCCAUCGCACGCCACCGCACCCCAUCUCUCGAAAUCUGCAGACAUCUUGAUUUUUCCCACGCUGUCUGUCAGGUCUCCGCCGCCACUCGACGCCAGGGCGCCGGGCCUUGUGGGCUGUGCUGCACCUCGGACGGCUUCGCACCAGCCAGCGCCCUCUCUCUCCUGCAGCACUCUGAUCUGCACCCCCUGAGGGGCUUCCACUGUCCGCGGGGUGAGAAUGCCCCUGGGAGUGUCACAUGACUGCCGCCCCAUGUGUGUGAGAGGCGUCCUCUGGGAGAGCAUGGAUCCUGAGGUCCCAGGAUUGUCAGCUGACCUCUGUCCUGUGUGCCCAGUGGCCCCAGGUGACGUGUCUUCAAGAAGAGGCUGAGCUGCGGUGCUUGUAAGGGUCUCAUUCUGUCACCCAGGCUGGAGUGCAGUGGUGCAAUGAUGGCUCACUGCAGCCUCGACCUGGGCUCAAGUGAUCCUCCACCUCAGCUUCCUGAGUAGCUGGGACCACAGAGUCAUGUGCUGUUCCUGGGGCUUGGAUGAUGUAGGGGAAGCAAGGUGAAAGUGGUAUCCCGUGGUUCCACGUUCUGUCCUGCUGUGGGGCUGUCCCUCACAUGCUUUCAGUGGCUGUUGCAGAGGAAGAGCCUCCGGAAAUCUGCGUGGGUAAAGUCUCAGCCUUAGAUCCAAGGACAGUCCAAGGAAGUCCUAAGACCAUGGAGUUGGUGAUCUGGGAUCUGGGUUUGCUGAUAUUUCUCACCGUGAAUCUCUUGGUGGUGUUUGUGGGCACGAGAGGGGCAGAGAAUGGAGAGUGAGGCUACCACAUGAAGCGUCACCAGAGCUGCUCCCUGCUGCCUGCUCAGAGCACCCCGGAUCCACUGUUCAAUCUGCACAAGAUUCGGGGUCCAGACAUGGGAGACUUCAGCUGCCUCAGAGGACCGUGGACAGGGAAGGCCAGCCUCGCAUCCCUCUGUCCAUGCCUGGAAUGACUUUAAUAACCAAGAGUUUUAUUUUUGAAUUUGUAGCUGUCGUUCACUUUUUACCCACCCAUUCAAUAAACCUUACAGAAUUGCUCCAUGUGCUUCUUAAAUCAGUGACAACCUGUGAGCCUGCCAGGCUGGCUUUGGAGAAGAGGGAGGAAUCUACACAUGUCCCAGGGGCCAUGGUGAAAAGGU